rnacentral:rRNA from 1 species
UACGAAGGGGGCUAGCGUUGUUCGGAAUUACUGGGCGUAAAGCGCACGUAGGCGGAUAUUUAAGUCAGGGGUGAAAUCCCAGAGCUCAACUCUGGAACUGCCUUUGAUACUGGGUAUCUUGAGUAUGGAAGAGGUAAGUGGAAUUCCGAGUGUAGAGGUGAAAUUUCGUAGAUAUUCGGAGGAACACCAGUGGCGAAGGCGGCUUACUGGUCCAUUACUGGACGCUGAGGUGGCGAAAGCGUGGGGAGCAACAGG